UACGUAGGUGGCAAGCGUUGUCCGGAUUUACUGGGCGUAAAGAGCGCGCAGGCGGUCGUUCAAGUCGCGUGUGAAAUCCCUCGGCUUAACCGGGGAACUGCGUCUGAUACUGGAUGGCUUGAGUUUGGGAGAGGGACGCGGAAUUCCAGGUGUAGCGGUGAAAUGCGUAGAUAUCAGGAAGAACACCCGUGGCGAAGGCGGCUCUCUGGGACGGUACUGACGCUGAGACGCGAAAGCGUGGGGAGCGAACAGG
rnacentral:rRNA from 1 species